CCUACGGGAGGCAGCAGUGAGGAAUAUUGGUCAAAGGGCGUAAGCCUGAACCAGCCAAGUCGCGUGAGGGAUGAAGGUUCUAUGGAUUGUAAACCUCUUUUAUAAGGGAAUAAAGUGCGGGACGUGUCCCGUUUUGUAUGUACCUUAUGAAUAAGGAUCGGCUAACUCCGUGCCAGCAGCCGCGGUAAUACGGAGGAUCCGAGCGUUAUCCGGAUUUAUUGGGUUUAAAGGGUGCGUAGGCGGCCUUUUAAGUCAGCGGUGAAAGUCUGUGGCUCAACCAUAGAAUUGCCGUUGAAACUGGGAGGCUUGAGUAUGUUUGAGGCAGGCGGAAUGCGUGGUGUAGCGGUGAAAUGCUUAGAUAUCACGCAGAACCCCGAUUGCGAAGGCAGCCUGCCAAGCCAUGACUGACGCUGAUGCACGAAAGCGUGGGGAUCAAACAGGAUUAGAUACCCGGGUAGUC
rnacentral:rRNA from 1 species